UGGCAUUGGAUUUGGGAGUUGAUUUUAAGUCCAUCUUCAUCUCGAAAAGGUCCAGCUAGCUCAUCUUUAAUAAUACCAGCCCAUACCAGUACCCAGCCUCCACCUUGCUGGUGUCUGAUUUGAAGUGGAGCCCUGUGCGGGUCCAUCCAUCUGGUCCAUCAAGAGUCACUCUCAUCCCAUCAGUCCAUAAAACCUUUGAAAAGUCUCUCUUCAGAUAUUUCUUGGCCCAGUCUUGACGUUUCGACUUGUGUCUUGUUCAGUGGUGGUCAGAUUUCAGCCUUCCUUACCUUGGCCAUGUCUCUGAGCACUGAACACCUUGUACUUCUGGGCACUCCAGGUAGGUUGCAGUUCUGGAAUAUGACAGCACUGGAGGAUAUUGGGUUCCUGGUAGCUUUACGUUUGAGUCUUCUCAAAUCUUUGGCAGUUAAUUCGCGUCUUUUUUUCUUAACACAUUUCUUGCGACCCUGUUGACUAUUUGCAUCAAAAUGUUUGAUGGUUCUGUGAUCACGCCCAAAUAUCUAAGAAAUUUCAAGAGUGCUGCAUCCCUCUGAAAGACUUUUUACAUUUUUUGACUUUUCAGAGUCACUUAAAUCUCUUUUUUGGCCCAUUUUACCUGAGGAAAAGAAGCUGCCUAAUAAUUAUGCACACCUUGAUAUAGGGUUUUGAUCUCCUUAGGCCCCAGCCUCCCUCAAUACACAUUACCUGAUAUGCUUAUAUCCAAUAAGCAUUCAAGUUUAUACAGCUUAGAGUUGGAAAAUAUGCAUAAAAAUGAUGAUAUGAUCAAAAUACUCACUUGCCUAAUAAUUGUGCACACAGUGUAUAAGAGUGUUUUCUAACUUCUCUCUCCAAUAGCUUUAUUACACAGCACAAAAAUGUUUCUUAUCUUCUCUGUGACCUUGUUUCUCCUAUUAGCAGGUGUGUGUGUGAUGUAUCCUCCACUGUGAAUCGUGGGAAGUAAUGAGGAGGAUCCGCUCCUAUCAGAAGGAGCUUGUUUAAUGUCAACAGUGUUGCCUUGACCCUCACAUAUGUUCUGUUGUUCAUAAUUAUGUUUUAUGAGAAUGCUAACAUUGGUGCACAUAUUUUUCCCCCAUCCUUUAGUACCAUUGUGUAACCAGGGACAACCCUAAAUAAAGAGACUGUGGUGCUGUUGGUGCUGUUAUUCCAUUAUUGCAAAUGAAUCUCAUCACCCUGUGAUGAAGAAAAUGAAAAUAAGACCAUCUUAAGAAUUCUGGCACUUUCAUGAUCAUUUCUAAUUGUACAGAAAAAGUGAAAUAUUGCAAAGAGUAUAAAUGGUAGAAAGGUGAAAAGUAAUACUUAUCAUGUCCUUAGGGAGUGCAUUACUAUCAAGUUUGAAUGGUUAAAAUAGCACAAAGUGGGAAGGAGAGAAAAAGUAACAAAUAUUGGUGUUAGAAGAAAAAACGGCCGACAGGAUUAUCAAUUACAACUUGAAAAACUGCGUUUCCUUGCAGAAAAUGCAUGGAAAUGCUGAAUGAUGAAACAGCCAUGCAGAACUGCUACGAAAGAAGAAAAGUAUAAAUGUUAAAUGUCUUGAAGAGGUGGAGAACAAGAAGAAAUUAUGUAGAAAUUUUAGCAUAGCUGCAGUUAAACAUACAUGAAGUUGUAGAAAAGCAGCAGUUGGAGAAGUGUUUUACAUGCUGACAUUUUCAAUAACCUUGAAAAAAAAUUGUAUGAGUGUUGUCAAUAAACAGAGAUGAGGAUUAGUUAACCCUUGUGUAACCGUUAGAUUUACAGCUGAACAGCUUAACGCAUUCAUGCCAUUACACAUGCUCAAAAACCUUCAAACUGGCCAAAACGAACAAUGUUCAUAACAACAAGCCAAACUCAUCAAAAGAACACUAAAACAACAGCUUAACGCAUUCAUGCCAUUACACAUGCUCAAAAACGUUCAAACUCGCAAAAAAAAACACUUUUCAUAACAACAAGCUAAACUCAUCAAAAGAACACUAAAACAACGGCUUAACACAAGGGAUUACUAAUUCAACACAUUCAUGCCAUUACACAUGCUCAAAAACCUUCAAACUGGCCAAAACGAACAAUGUUCAUAACAACAAGCCAAACUCAUCAAAAGAACACUAAAACAACAGCUUAACGCAUUCAUGCCAUUACACAUGCUCAAAAACGUUCAAACUCGCCAAAACAAACACUUUUCAUAACAACAAGCCAAACUCAUCAAAAGAACACUAAAACAACAGCUUAACGCAUUCAUGCCAUUACACAUGCUAAAAAACCUUCAAACGGGCCAAAACGAAC